rnacentral:rRNA from 1 species
UACGGGGGGGGCAAGCGUUGUUCGGAAUUACUGGGCGUAAAGGGCGCGUAGGCGGUUCGCUAAGUUGGAUGUGAAAACUCUGGGCUCAACCCAGAGCCUGCAUCCAAAACUGGCGGGCUAGAGUUCUGGAGGGGGUAGCGGAAUUCCUGGUGUAGCGGUGAAAUGCGUUGAUAUCCUAAGGAACACCGGUGGCGAAAGCGGCGUACUGGGUCUUAUCUGACGCUGAGGCACGAAAGCUAGGGGAGCGAACGGG